CUAAUGCGAGAGUUGAAAAUAAAACAUGGAAAAAGAGUUGGUAUCAAUCAAGCUUUUAAUCCUGCACAAUACCUUUCCAUUCACACAACAGCAGCAACAGGAGCCAAAUAACAAUGACAUCGCACCGGAAGUGUUUGAAAUUUCACGUGCCAAGAGUUGCUCUUUGCAUAACACACUGGUCUUUGGAUUAAUAAAAAAAAAGAGAAAACACCCAACAUAAAAUUUCUUGACAAUUGUCCAACACAGAAAAGAACAGCGAAGCAUAAUCUGCUACACUGGCAAGCAUGAUGCAAAUUGCUGAGUGGUCCAGCAACAGAUGCAUACCUCUAUCAAGAACAAUAAUGAACUGUACAAUAAAGUCAAACAGCCAGUGAAAAAAAAGUAAGCAGUGCUUUCCAGCCCAUUUGCUGGUACUGAUUCAUUGACCAUGUAAGUUUAGCUGCAUAAAUUUAAAACUCUGCAUACAAAUAAUUUCUAUUGCCUCAAUAACUCAACAUAAUUAAAGAUCAUUAGUAGUAACAUAUCACAGCUCAUCUUUAAAGAACUAUCACCAAUGAGCAAAGCAAGAAAGCAAUACCUGCUGCAACCAAACAUAACAGAGGAACAUUAUAGUCCUUUGAAUACAACAAAGUAGCUUCAACGCAACACGGAAUAAGUGCUUGAUGCAUCUGAUUCUUGCAAAGAUGUGAUGCACGAAAACAGCGAUGCUGUAAAAAUAACCAACAAAUGUCUCAAUCACACACUGUGCAUCGUGUGAUCAUAUUCACCGUAUAACACUAUAUAAGAAGAACAAGCACUGCCAUAUGUUGCCGAGCAUAUGACUGCGACGAUGAAAAAGAGUUCUACAUAAUCACAUAAGAGACAUCCAUCCCUGGGUCCAAUCGUUCCUGGGGGACUGCAAAAUGCCAUGACGAAGCGAACAAUGUCCCUGUCUCACAGCAGUGGAAAGAAGGAAUAUCGCAUUCAUAAAGUGCUAUAUGUAUAAUCAAUAACAACAGUAAAUAUGAUUCUAUAACUAUUGGUACUAUUUUUCUGAAAAAUAAAAUAUUGCUCUGCAAGAUUUUUUUUGCUUUCACAAAAAUAUGUACGACUGGGCCAGAAUGAAAUAUAAAGUAGAAAAAAAAAAAACAAUUAGACAUGAGAGUUAUUAUGAUUUAUUUUUUUCCAACUUGUGUAUCAUUCCAGCUCAACAGCACAAAUAAAUAAGAUUCAAAAUCUGCAACAACCACACUAGAUAGAUUGCACUGCAUAUGUGAUGUGCUAUAAUAAGUUAUUCGUCAAGAACAGAUUUCAUCAAAAGAAACCAAAGCCACUGCACAUAUGACUGCAGCUAACUCUGGGAUGUUUAGUUGGCUUCUUGUUGCAUCCCUGCUUUUUGAAAGUUCUAAAGAAGUAUUCGAACCCUUGUCAUGACUUUCCGGUAAUCGGUAACUCUACAGGUACUCUACAGGUGGCUGCAUCAGUGAUGCAGCCACUGCAACACUGAUGCUUCUAGUGGCUCUGUUUCUUCACAAGUCUUCACAAGUCAUCUAUUGACAUAAUGGACAAAGAUUCUAAUGAACCCACGUCAUAUAUUCACUACUGAGAAAAUUAGGGGACCGUUUCAAUCACAGUUUCUACUGGAAUGGCUUUCCAGCAAAUUGCUUUGGUAAUGAA
rnacentral:lncRNA from 1 species